rnacentral:rRNA from 1 species
CACACCGCCCGUCACACCAUGGAAGCUGACUCAACCAGAAGACGAUAUGGCUAACCGCAAGGGAGCCGUCGGUCAAGGUGGGGUCGGUGACUGGGGUG